AUGUUUGCUGAACAAGACAUGUUCCUAACUGAUACGUCUUCUCUGCAUUGGCCUCUACAAAGCAGUGUGCUUAUGUCGGUCCAAUGCUCACCUGAGUGUUACUUCAUCUCGACAAGUGCUGCUUGUUACGUAUUGUUCUGGCAAUACUCAUUAUUUUGCAUCCAUGGCGUCAUUGUCACAGUGAAUACUUCAGGCAAGUUCGGCUGCUCCAAGCUUCUGUUCCCAAAAGAGAAGAGGCUUCCUAAAGAUGGUAAUGAAUUUCAGUUUGAAACCUGUGCUUGUGUAGGUCAUAGUGUUGUGAUUUCACUAAAUUCUUGUCAAGCCUGCUGCAAGGGAACUCUAAGCUAG
rnacentral:rRNA from 1 species